AACCUUGUACAUUUAAGCCACCCCCAACACAACAGCUGAGAGGCACGAGUAGACAUACUGACUGGAAGGCUUGUAUGAAACAGAGUAGAAAGUUUUACCCUCCUCUGUAAAAUUCAAAACAGUAUAACCAAGUGAUCAGUAGAAACAAUGCCUAAGCUACCCCAGAAGAAGUACUACAGACAGAGAGCCCACUCCAAUCCAAUUGCUGACCACAACUUUGACUAUCCAGUAUGUCCAUCGGCAAUGAAUUGGAGUCCUUACUUCCCUAAAUACUUCCCUGGAGACAACAGCAAGAAAGUAGAGUUUGCUGAUAUUGGCUGUGGGUACGGGGGACUGCUGGUGGCUCUUGCACAUAUCUUUCCUGACACACUGAUGUUGGGUAUGGAGAUAAGGGUGAAGGUGUCAGACUUCGUUGUUGACCGCAUACAUGGACUGAGAGACGAGAAGAAGGACUUACCAGGGGGUUACCAGAACAUUGCCUGUAUACGAACCAAUGCGAUGAAGUACCUGCCAAACUUUUUUGAGAAAGGGCAGUUGAGUAAAAUGUUUUUCCUGUUUCCUGACCCACACUUCAAAAGAGCCAAGCACAAGUGGAGGAUAAUCAAUCCGUCGCUUCUGGCAGAGUAUGCCUAUGUCCUGCGUGAAGGGGGUCUCGUUUACACCGUUACAGACGUCAAGGACCUUUAUGAUUGGAUGGUUCGACAUUUCUCCGAACAUCCGCUAUUUGUCCGGUUAAAUGAGGAUAAUAUGGCUGACGAUCCAGUGGUUAAAUACCUGUUUGAGAGCACCGAGGAGGGCCAGAAGGUGUCUCGUAACAGUGGAGACAAGUUCCUGGCUGUGUUCCAAAGAGUGGCUGAUCCAAGACAAUCUAGUGCUACCGGCAUGGCAGAUAAAAUGUGUCCAUCUGGAGCUCAGUAUCAUAAACAGAAAGCUGAAGGGAGGAAAGAACAAACAGACCUAGAGGCUUCCUUACUGAAAUACCUCCACCAACAGCAAGACAGUUCACAACAUGAAACAGAUUCUGAGGUAGGAGUACAACUAGCCCCUAUAAUUGCACAUGCAGAGGUUAAUCAGGAUAAUGAACAUCUGAGUACAUCUGAUACACAUAAUGAAGAUUGCCAGAAUCCAGAUGUGAUGAAUAUAGGUCUACUACAAAUAUAAGUAACCUGAACUAUGGUGAUCCUGCUAUUUGGUUUAUACGUGAUGGCCUUUUCUGACAAAUUCUGGUAGAACGUAGACCCGAAGAAGUUACGGAUUUAAAAUUUCCUAAGGAUGGAAUAUAAGAAAAUUCUCUACUAAACAUCAUAAGAGGCGGCUUACAAAUGGGGAAGAAAUGCAUCACCAGUGGCUGCUGUAAUGUGUAAACAGAUUCUGUGUUUUGCUUUGGUUGCAAACAUAUUAGCAACAAAACAUUUGGUGUAGCGUCACUUUUUGGGAAUGGGUCAAAAGACUGGAAAAAUAUCUCUGCAAUACUCUCCUCCCAUGAAAAACACAACGAACAUUUGGAAAAUAUUCAAAAUUGGAAAGAACUGAACUAUGGGCGAGAAAAAAUAAAACUACAGUACAGUCUACCAAUAGUUGAACAUUUUUGUAGGAUUAAAUGUAAGAGAAAUAUUGGCAGCAGUUAUUGGAACAACUUACUGCUUUAGUAAGAUUACUGUAUUUGGAAUACAAAACCUUGCAGUUUGUGGUAAGAAUGAGAAAUUAUACAGUUCAGGUAAUGGAAACUUCUUAAAGUUUGUUGAGUAUUUGGCUUUGUUUGAUCCAGUCACUGAUGAGUAUGUGUAAAACAAGAGAACAUGAAACACGUGCAGUCGUUGAACCAGAACCAGUGCACAUAAUGAGAACAAAGAAGGAAUUUGCAUAUGAAUUAGAAGACAAAUCUGUUCAGGACCUAAAGGAAAAAUUUUAAGUGAACUUUGACUUCACAGUACAUGUACAGUACUUGAUGUUGCAAUCCAGUCAGUUAAAUAACGAUUUGAGCAAAUGCUUCAUCUGAAUUCUGUGAUGGAAAACUGCAUAAAGGUAGAAUCAACUUUGCAGCUUUGUGAAUAUAAAGACAUUAAUGCUGCUGACUUGUGCUGUGAACUUCAAGCAUCAUCUACCAGGAUCUACAACACCUCAAGCGGUGUUGAAGUUCAUUUGUGAAAAUAAUCUGAAUGAAGUUCCCACCAUAUUUAUUGCCAUCCAAAUUCUCCUGACUGCCUGUUAUAGUUGCAAGUGGCGAGCCAAGUUUUUCAAAGCUUAUAAUGAUAAAGACAUAUCUACGAUCCACAAUGGUGUAAGAAAGGCUUGUUGGAUUAACAACUUUGUCCAUAGAGCACAAAAUUGCCCCAAAACUUGAUAUCAAGGAACUGACUGGCCAAUUUGCAAGGAUAAAGGAAUGACAAGUGCAGCUAUAGUAGGACUGUGUCUCAUAGAGUACCUGGCUGACUGUGUUGUGAGGGGAGCUGUAUCGUGGGGUCUAGGGGGCACAAAUAAACAUCUUCCUUAUGGUGCCAAAUACCCUGCCACUGGCCCUGGGCACAUCACUACAAAAUUUAAACCUAUAUGCCUUGGUUGGGCCUCAUGCUGCAUUACAACCAGUGCUGCAGUUUCACAGUAACAUCCAUGU